rnacentral:rRNA from 1 species
AGAUUGAACGCUAGCGGGAUGCUUUACACAUGCAAGUCGAACGGCAGCGCGGACUUCGGUCUGGCGGCGAGUGGCGAACGGGUGAGUAAUAUAUCGGAACGUGCCCAGUAGCGGGGGAUAACUACGCGAAAGCGUGGCUAAUACCGCAUACGCCCUACGGGGGAAAGGGGGGAUCGCAAGACCUCUCACUAUUGGAGCGGCCGAUAUCAGAUUAGCUAGUUGGUGAGGUAAAGGCUCACCAAGGCGACGAUCUGUAGCUGGUUUGAGAGGACGACCAGCCACACUGGGACUGAGACACGGCCCAGACUCCUACGGGAGCAGCAGUGGGAAUUUGGACAAGUGGGGGAAACCUGAUCCAGCCAUCCCGCGUGUGCGAUGAA